GGGCAGUGGUGCAGCGGUGAACACCUGAUCAGCCCCACAGUCCCUGCACUGUCCAACACUGCCGGUCCUUCCUCCUCCUGCAGCUCAGACUCCUCCUCAGCCAGGUUUCUGACGGGUUUAGCGGGCCUGAUUUGGCCUGCAGCCCACCAGUUGAUUACAGGACCAUCAAUCAUCCUGGAGUAAUUCACACCAUGGUGUUUGUCUGUGUCCACCUUCAUUGUUCAUUGUUCAUUGUUCAUUGUCUAUUAUGUUGAUGACGUGGAGUUGUUUUGUCUUCAUUUUUUACAGCGUGCUAACCCUGACGUCUCACUUCUCACGCGAUUUAAGGAGGAUUUAUGCUCAACAUCUGGGACCUGGGACCUGUUCAAGUCCUGCAGGUGUUUGUCCUCUUUUUUUAUUGUGUUUAUGGACAGAGUAAUAUUCAGCCUUUGGCUCAGUGGACGUGGAGUCUGAGGCAGACGUCGGAGGUUAGAACUAUAAAAAAUAUCAACUUUAGCAGUUGGUUCCAUCUUAACUUUCAUUUUUCUUCUUCUUCUUUUUCUUUUUCUUACCCGUCACUGAGACUCAUUUCAGACUGGAACGGACUGUCGUCACGGCUACGGCCCAGACUGCACCUCUCAUCACAGCAGAGCGAUGGGACCAGGACUGGACCUGAACGUCACAGACAUUAAAAAAGGUUCAACUGUCUGAGAGACGCUGUCUCUUGCAGUAGAUGACACACAGGACCAGCAGAGCCAGCAGCACCGUGGCCAGAGCGCUGCAGAUGACGGCGGCCAGGGCCAUGUCCCGCGGGCUGGUCACCACCGCGGGCAGAGGAACCAGGUUGACCCGCCCACCGCCUGAGGAGAAAGACGGAGGUCAGACGAACGUGGAGAAGAAGAGACAGACAGGAAGUGACAAGGACGAAUGAGGAGGUUUCUUCACACGCAAGUCAGCAAUGAAGUCCAGAGUGCGGCCAGGCGUUUCUCGGUCCAACACUGAGCGUAAACCGUCUGUGACCGUUGGACGCCGGCCGCAGACAUCAGGAGUGUGUUUUCACUUUCUCUCUGUUUUUGUUUCCCUCAUAUUUGACCUGACGUCGGCGUCGGGUGCAGCUCCACAGGCAGCGCCGCCCAGCGCUGAUGAGCUGCUGCAGUUGUUUGAAAUAUUUCUGGCUCCUGCUGCAGGUGGAGGAAAUGUUUUGGAAAUGUGGACAGUACAGUACAGCCAGUAGGUGGCAGUGAAAAGAUGGAGGCUGCAGUUAAAGAUUUGCUGUCAGACGUUCAGACCAACGCAGGUUUGACUCCCGGGUCACAACAUUUGACAGAUUUUACAAAAAUUCACUGAACUUCACUCAUCGAUCACAGUCUGUGUUUAUAGCACCCCCUGCAGAGAGGAAAAGGAGGAGCUCCAUGCUCUGUAUAGUUAAACAUUAACCCUCAUAAAACCUUCAUAUUCUACCUUACUUUUAAAACUACUCCAUGUUGUAAUGAAGCAGAGAUUGUUGUUAUUUAAGGUAAAAAACAAAAAGAGUUUGGUUGAAAAUCCAGAGAAGUGAGAGAGAAAAAAACCUGCUGGUGGUUUUGGUGCGGUGAGAGCAGAUCACAUGCAGCUUUGAAGAUCAGGAAGAUCAGAGGGAGAGCUGAGGCUGUGAAGUCUGUCGGAUCAUGUUUCCUCUCAGUGCCAUGAAAACCUGCGCUCUUCAUUUCCUGAUAUUUCAAAGAAAACACAACCGUGUACUCCACCGCGCGUUCGUCUGGGUGGGCGCCGUCGGAGCGGCUACGAGCUAACAAAGAUGAGAUUCUCUGACCUCAUCAGGACACCACCAGGGGGCGGGGAACUUUCGAACAUUUGGAAGCGUCACGUCCAGCUGCGUCCUCAGAGACUAAGGCUAGUUUGUCCCACUGAGGUCUGGCCACUGGUCCAACGGCUAACGUUUAUUACCAGUGGUGUCAAACAUAAGGGCUGCUGACCAGAACAGGCCCGUCUGAAGCAGGACUGUCGUGGCUAACGUUAGCUCGUGAACGUCGGCGUGCUCCAGAACCCUGUGAGUGAACACCCCCGGAGGUUUGAGGCCAGCAGCUUCCUGUGUCCCCGGAACCAUAGUGAGGCUCAUACGGAGGGGGGGGGUCCCCGCAGGGGACACACUCCAUGUCCUGGAAGCCACUGAGUUUGGUCUUCCUGUAAUAUCUGUAGAGCAGACAGUCUCCGCACACGGCGUUGCUGGUGGUGGAGCAGUUGCCCUUCUGGAGGCGGUUGAGGAGGCCACAGUCCAGGCAGGGCUUGCACUUCUGCAGACUCCGCUCCUCUUUGAAGCGGCUGCUCCGGCAGGGCACACACCGGGCAUCGUCGCCGUAACCAAAGCCACAUUCCUGCAGGGAUUAGGAGGAGAAGUGUAGCGGGGAAAAAGAACUGAACCGACGAUAAAGAACAGCAGAGCAGGACCAGGACCAGGACCAGGACCAGAGACCAGAACCAGGACCAGGACCAGGACCAGGGACCAGGACCAGGACCAGAGACCAGGACCAGGCCCCGUGGACUGGCACAACUUUGGUCCACAGGUCACCACAGGUGAGACGGCCAAUCACAGCAGAGGAGGUUGACGCCGGCUGAGACUCUAAGAUCAGGAGGGAAUCAAACCAACAUCUUAUCUCCGAGUAAAUCAGCAGCGUGACAGCCACAGGACUCACGGACACCGUCCUCUGUCCUCCGUCCUGGGGGUGUGUGUGUGUGUGUGUGUGUGUCGGAGGGAAACUUUACUCUCUCUCCACACACCAGAAGAUGUUGGCACAUCAAAGUUCAGUUCCUCCCCCUUUUUUUUUUUUUUUCCUUUUUCUUUUGCCACUGGCCGUUUUCCAGCAUUCAUUGGAACAAAAAUGUCUCCUUCAUGCUUGACACAACAUGCGACUCAGCAGCUGAGAAUGAAUGAACCUGAGAGGGAAACAAUGUUGACGAGAGAGAGAGAGAGAGAGAGAGAAGAGGUCCAUUUAAUGGCCGUUCCCUCUGUGUGGGUGGUUAUUUUGGCUGCACGGGGCCUGGUGCGGCUAACUGAUGUUUGUCAGUGUGUCUGUGAAAGGCGUCCAGAGGCAAACUGGGCCACAUUCCUCUGGGAUCUCUAUGGCAGCUGCACAGAGGGACUCCAAAUGUCUGCUUCUCUUCCAGCAGGCACUCCUGCCUUUCACAGCUCACAGAGAUUGUCUUGGUCUGACUGAGCUCUCUCUCUCUCUCUCCCUCUCUCCCUCAGUGCAGACCCCGCUCUCCCGCUACCUUCAGAGAAAGCCAAUUAUUAACCAGGAGCCCAGGGUGGAACAGGACGACUACUGGAGCAUGUUACCGACCACAGCGUGCAUGUCUGUGUGCACUCGGAUUAAAGCGAACCGGCGCUAAAUGCAUGUGUGCAACAGAUGUCAGGGUCGGGCCUUUGUUGUUUUUAACACCAGUCUUUAAAGUUGUAAAACACUAAAAAACAAAAUCAAAUUUGAACCAAUUUUAAUCUUGGUACUUCAAAAUUUUUUUCAUUUAAAGCUGGGUUUUCUUUCAGUUAUUUCUUGUUCGUGGUGAGACAUGAUCAGGGCUGCGGUGGUUAAGGAAGCAGCCUUGUGUCCGGAAGGUCAGGGGUUUGAUGCUGUGCUGUGCAUCAAUGCCAAUAACUCUAAUGUCUUUCUUCUUAGAAACUUUGUUAACACUUAGUUUUAUAAUUGUUUAUAAUUGUGAAAUUGUAAAUCACAUUAGAAUCAUGAUUUUCCAGUUUGAAUUAAUUGACUUAUAACGACUUAAACGAUGGACAUAGACGUAAUUUUAAACGACGUGUUCAUCUGUCUGUUUGUCACGGUUGUCGGUUCGACUUCCUGAAGCCGAGCGCUGCCGUUCACAGAUGCCACUUAAUGCAUCACGUGCACCUUCUCUGCAGCUCUAGGUGCAUCAUCGCCACCUACAGGGCUGUGGCGUGCGUCAUUGUUUUGUCUGUGGUUUCUGUCAGAGAGGAAAGCCCUUUCCUGACACCAGGAGGCCUGUUUGUACAGAGCUAAGACGUGGAAAAUACUUUGUUGAUUUGGAGAGAGCAGCAGCAGCAAGCUUAGGCACGGCCGCCGACAAACAGCGAAGACAAUCAGUUGGACGGAGUGCAACGGUGGAGAAACAAUGGAGGCCAUUCAUCGGCAGAAGGUCAAAAGCAUGGGUGUGACUGAUUAAAGGAGGGUCGGUGUUUGACGAAAGCUAAUAACAGCUGGGCCUUCCCCCGGUACGACGGAGAGGAAGUGAUAAAUAAUGUUGGUUCACUGGAGUCAAACACUGACCUCCGAGUGAAAGAGAAAGAAACAACGUUCCUUUCAUCCUGAUUAACGCUGUCGUUUACAGACGG